CUGCUUCUGUGAUACCUCUAUGUGAAGGAAGGAAAGAAUAGAGUAUGCUGAGUCGGAAGACACCCACAAGGAUCAUCAAGUCCAACUCUUGGCGCUGCACAGGACCAUUCCCAAAAGUCACACCA